rnacentral:rRNA from 1 species
CAGGCUUAACACAUGCAAGUCGAGGGGCAUCAGGAAGAAAGCUUGCUUUCUUCGCUGGCGACCGGCGCACGGGUGAGUAACACGUAUCCAACCUGCCCUUUACUCGGGGAUAGCCUUUCGAAAGAAAGAUUAAUACCCGAUGGCAUAAUGAUUCCGCAUGGUUUGAUUAUUAAAGGAUUCCGGUAAAGGAUGGGGAUGCGUUCCAUUAGGUUGUUGGUGAGGUAACGGCUCACCAAGCCUUCGAUGGAUAGGGGUUCUGAGAGGAAGGUCCCCCACAUUGGAACUGAGACACGGUCCAAACUCCUACGGGAGGCAGCAGUGAGGAAUAUUGGUCAAUGGGCGCUAGCCUGAACCAGCCAAGUAGCGUGAAGGAUGAAGGCUCUAUGGGUCGUAAACUUCUUUUAUAUAAGAAUAAAGUGCAGUAUGUAUACUGUUUUGUAUGUAUUAUAUGAAUAAGGAUCGGCUAACUCCGUGCCAGCAGCCGCGGUAAUACGGAGGAUCCGAGCGUUAUCCGGAUUUAUUGGGUUUAAAGGGAGCGUAGGUGGACUGGUAAGUCAGUUGUGAAAGUUUGCGGCUCAACCGUAAAAUUGCAGUUGAUACUGUCAGUCUUGAGUACAGUAGAGGUGGGCGGAAUUCGUGGUGUAGCGGUGAAAUGCUUAGAUAUCACGAAGAACUCCGAUUGCGAAGGCAGCUCACUGGACUGCAACUGACACUGAUGCUCGAAAGUGUGGGUAUCAAACAGGAUUAGAUACCCUGGUAGUCCACACAGUAAACGAUGAAUACUCGCUGUUUGCGAUAUACAGUAAGCGGCCAAGCGAAAGCAUUAAGUAUUCCACCUGGGGAGUACGCCGGCAACGGUGAAACUCAAAGGAAUUGACGGGGGCCCGCACAAGCGGAGGAACAUGUGGUUUAAUUCGAUGAUACGCGAGGAACCUUACCCGGGCUUAAAUUGCAGUGGAAUGAUGUGGAAACAUGUCAGUGAGCAAUCACCGCUGUGAAGGUGCUGCAUGGUUGUCGUCAGCUCGUGCCGUGAGGUGUCGGCUUAAGUGCCAUAACGAGCGCAACCCUUAUCUUUAGUUACUAACAGGUCAUGCUGAGGACUCUAGAGAGACUGCCGUCGUAAGAUGUGAGGAAGGUGGGGAUGACGUCAAAUCAGCACGGCCCUUACGUCCGGGGCUACACACGUGUUACAAUGGGGGGUACAGAAGGCAGCUAGCGGGUGACCGUAUGCUAAUCCCAAAAUCCUCUCUCAGUUCGGAUCGAAGUCUGCAACCCGACUUCGUGAAGCUGGAUUCGCUAGUAAUCGCGCAUCAGCCACGGCGCGGUGAAUACGUUCCCGGGCCUUGUACACACCGCCCGUCAAGCCAUGGGAGCCGGGGGUACCUGAAGUACGUAACCGCAAGGAUCGUCCUAGGGUAAAACUGGUGACUGG